AUCUAGAGAAUUGUGGUUGUUUUGUUUAUUUCACUGAAGAUGCAUCAUCACUAUACCUACUUAAGCAUAUUCUCUGCAUCUGUAUUUAUUUAAAAAUGCUUUUGCAACCUGACACUGUUCAGCUUUUUUAUCUUUUACCAGUAUUUGGGGACUUAUUGGGGAUUCCUUUGAUAAUUUCAGGAAGAAAGAAGUGGAAUGGAAGGAGCCAGUAACUGUCCCAGGUCAGAAAACGCCUCUGAAAAGGAUCUACAUUACACCCAAAGUUCAUUGGAUAACUGCACCCUCAACAAUCAGGAGACAAUAAGUGGUGUAGACAGAGCUAAUAUCUUCCCCAAAUCAGAUGGUACCUCUGAAGACAUUCAGCAUUCCACAGACUGUUCACAGGUUGAGACUUUCCACAUUCAGGAGACAAUAAGUGGUACGAACCAAGCCAGUAACUGCCCCAAAUCAGAUGGUGCCUCUGAAGACAAUCAGCAUUGCACAGACAGUUCACAGCAUGACAGUAUCUUCCACAUUCAGGAGACAAUAAAGGGUAUGAACCAAGCCAGUAACUGCCCCAAAUCAGAUGGUGCCUCUGAAGACAAUCAGCAUUGCACAGACAGUCCACAGCAUGACAGUAUCUUCCACAUUCAGGAGACAAUAAAGGGUAUGAACCAAGCCAGUAACUGCCCCAAAUCAGAUGGUGCCUCUGAAGACAAUCAGCAUUGCACAGACAGUCCACAGCAUGACAGUAUCUUCCACAUUCAGGAGACAAUAAAGGGUAUGAACCAAGCCAGUAACUGCCCCAAAUCAGAUGGUGCCUCUGAAGACAAUCAGCAUUGCACAGACAGUCCACAGCAUGACAGUAUCUUCCACAUUCAGGAGACAAUAAAGGGUAUGAACCAAGCCAGUAACUGCCCCAAAUCAGAUGGUGCCUCUGAAGACAAUCAGCAUUGCACAGACAGUUCACAGCAUGACAGUAUCUUCCACAUUCAGGAGACAAUAAAGGGUAUGAACCAAGCCAGUAACUGCCCCAAAUCAGAUGGUGCCUCUGAAGACAAUCAGCAUUGCACAGACAGUCCACAGCAUGACAGUAUCUUCCACAUUCAGUGGCUCUUGAUGUAGAACCACCCAUAGAUCCUUCUGCAAAAGAAGUCCAGAAAUCUUCAAUUGAACAAGCAACAGAAAUAACAAGUACCACAACUACCAUGAAAGGUACUGUUUGUUAAACUUCAUAGAAAGCCUUUAUGAACUUAAAAAUCUCUGUUUUUUCUGAUGUGCUUUGUUCAUUCAGGUCGAAAGGUGGUAAAGAAAAAGAAAUGGGACAGUGAUGAAAUGAAUGCAGUUGAAAAGCAUCUAAACAGGUUCAUCAAAACUUGUACAGUGCCAGGAAAACAACAAUGUGAGGCCUGUAUAAAUGCUGAACCUGUUGCCUUGAAAGACAGGGAUUGGUUGUCUGUAAAGUUCUUUGUGAAGAACAAAAUCACUACCCUUAAAAGAAGAAUGUAAAGUCAGUUAUUUUAUUUUGUUUGGUAUCUUAUUUUCUGGUAUUUUAGAUUUCUGGUUAUUACAUUUGUUUUAAAAGGAUCUUAGAAUCUCUUUUUUUUUUUUUGGAAAUGGGUGCAAUUCAGUAAAGUGUCUUUGAAUCGAAUGUAAAUAUGUACAG
ensembl:lncRNA